GGGGGUGUCUGGUUUCGACUGUGGAACGUAGAUUGAUGUUGCGUAUCGGAGAUGAUGGUUGGCUCCGUAAAAAUCCAUCGAAAAACAUAAAUGGCAAAGAUAAAGAUAAUGUCAUAGCGGCUGACUUCGGCAACGAAGUUGUCGCCCUUGCUGCCUAAUUGCAGCACGUCGACCGGUUUGAUUCUCGCUAAAACCGAAUCGGUGUAUAAACAGCGAGAAACAUUGUGGCUUGGCAUCCGAAGCUACAAUGCAAUCAAAUGGAUGCUAGUUACGGUAAAUUUGUCGACUGAUUUGUCGGAAUGAAGUUGAUUAUCGACUAUAUGCGUAGAUACAUUCUUUGAAAUUUUGCAGGACGCGGGUUCGACUCCCGCCACCUCCACCA
rnacentral:tmRNA from 1 species